rnacentral:piRNA from 1 species
UGCUGCUUAGAUUUUUUUUUU